AUUGAACGCUAGCGGGAUGCUUUACACAUGCAAGUCGAACGAGUGGCGGACGGGUGAGUAAUAUAUCGGAACGUGCCCGGUAGCGGGGGAUAACUACUCGAAAGAGUGGCUAAUACCGCAUACUCUUGGAGCGGCCGAUAUCGGAUUAGCUCGUUGGUGGGGUAAAGGCUCACCAAGGCAACGAUCCGUAGCUGGUUUGAGAGGAGGACCAGCCAACAUGGGACUGGGAAACGGCCCAGACUCCUACGGGAGGCAGCAGUGGGGAAUUUUGGACAAUGGGGGAAACCCUGAUCCAGCCAUCCCGCGUGUAUGAGAAGGCCUUCGGGUUGUAAAGUACUGUUGGCAUAGAAGCGGUAUCUGCAGAAGAAGCACCGGCUAACUACGUGCCAGCAGCCGCGGUAAUUC
rnacentral:rRNA from 1 species